AGUGAACGCUGGCGGUAGGCCUAACACAUGCAAGUCGAACGGUAGCACAGUAAGAGCUUGCUCUUACGGGUGGCGAGUGGCGGACGGGUGAGGAAUACAUCGGAAUCUACUUUUUCGUGGGGGAUAACGUAGGGAAACUUACGCUAAUACCGCAUACGACCUACGGGUGAAAGCAGGGGAUCUUCGGACCUUGCGCGAUUGAAUGAGCCGAUGUCGGAUUAGCUAGUUGGCGGGGUAAAGGCCCACCAAGGCGACGAUCCGUAGCUGGUCUGAGAGGAUGAUCAGCCACACUGGAACUGAGACACGGUCCAGACUCCUACGGGAGGCAGCAGUGGGGAAUAUUGGACAAUGGGCGCAAGCCUGACCCAGCCAUACCGCGUGGGUGAAGAAGGCCUUCGGGUUGUAAAGCCCUUUUGUUGGGAAAGAAAAGCAGCAGGUUAAUACCCCGCUGUUCUGACGGUACCCAAAGAAUAAGCACCGGCUAACUUCGUG
rnacentral:rRNA from 1 species